UACGUAGGUGGCAAGCGUUGUCCGGAAUUAUUGGGCGUAAAGCGCGCGCAGGCGGUCAUUUAAGUCUGGUGUUUAAUCCCGGGGCUCAACCCCGGUUCGCAUUGGAAACUGGAUGACUUGAGUGUAAGAGAGGAAAGUGGAAUUCCACGUGUAGCGGUGAAAUGCGUAGAUAUCGUGAGGAAGACCAGUGGCGAAGGCGGGUCUCUGGACAGUUCCUGACACUGAGGCACGAAGGCCAGGGGAGCAAACGGG
rnacentral:rRNA from 1 species